AAUGAACGUUGGCGGCGUGGAUUAGGCAUGCAAGUCGAGCGAGAACCCGCAAGGGGGACAGCGGCGAACGGGGUAGGAAUACGUAGGUAACGUACCCUCGGGGCGAGGACAGCCACGGGAAACUGUGGGUAAUACUCGAUAAACUUCCCAAUCAUUAUGGAAGGGGAAGCAAUGGGUGUGAUUCCACCUGAGGAGCGGCUUACGCAGUAUCAGCUAGUUGGUGAGGUAACGGCUCACCAAGGCUACGACGCUUAGGGGGUGUGAGAGCAUGGCCCCCACCACUGGCACUGAGACACUGGCCAGACACCUACGGGUGGCUGCAGUCGAGAAUCUUCGGCAAUGGACGCAAGUCUGACCGAGCGACGCCGCGUGUGGGAUGAAGGCCUUCGGGUUGUAAACCACUGUCAGAGGGAGUGAAGUGUACGAGAGUUAUCUCUGUAUUGACAGAGCCUCAGAGGAAGCACGGGCUAAGUUCGUGCCAGC
rnacentral:rRNA from 1 species